rnacentral:rRNA from 1 species
UACGUAGGGGGCUAGCGUUGUCCGGAAUCAUUGGGCGUAAAGCGCGUGUAGGCGGUCGGUAAGUCGCUGUGAAAGUCGGGGGCUCAACCCUCGAAUGCCGGUGGAUACUGUCGGGCUAGAGUGCGGAAGAGGCGAGUGGAAUUCCUGGUGUAGCGGUGAAAUGCGCAGAUAUCAGGAGGAACACCUAUUGCGAAGGCAGCUCGCUGGGACGUAACUGACGCUGAGACGCGAAAGCGUGGGGAGCAAACAGG